GUCCACUUUGUAGACAGUAUGAUUUUAAAAACUACUGCCUCUCCAAAGAUUCCAUCCAUAUGCUAGAUGGUCCUGUGCCAACAACACUCAACAUCAAGUGCAACUCAACUGAUCUUUGUGGGCAAGCAGAAGUCUGUUUCCCUCCCUUGCCAUCAGCAUCCAGAAAUGUUCGGUCUAAGCCCCAGAACUUCUACCAACAACAACAAAAAGCAACAUCUCUACAGUGGAAAGCCUGGAAGGCUACACUGCCAGGGCUGGGGACUGGAAACAGAGUCAAGUAACUUGUCCAGGCUCCUGAGUGGCCAGGAGAGGCCCAUUUACAUUUGGCCACUGAUCAUCAAAGGGAAGAGGCUGCCCUCCAGAUCCUCAACUUCUGCAGAGUCAGCUCAAUCCAUUGGCAGAACUGCCCAGCUGUGCCCAACACAUGGCUGGACUGGAGUCAGUACAGCUGUUGCCCACUUCCUAAAUCCUGGGGUCCUGGAAGAGAGGCUGCUUGUUAGCCUGUCUCUCAUUGAGCCUGGAGCUUUCCAAUUCACCCAGACUGGCUGGUUAGCAGGCUCCGAGGGUUCCCCAUCUCUGCC
rnacentral:lncRNA from 1 species